GAGUUUGAUUCUGGCUCAGGAUGAACGCUAGCGAUAGGCUUAACACAUGCAAGUCGAGGGGCAGCAUGAUCUUAGCUUGCUAAGGUUGAUGGCGACCGGCGCACGGGUGCGUAACGCGUAUGCAACUUGCCUUACAGAGGGGGAUAACCCGUUGAAAGACGGACUAAUACCGCAUACACUUGUUUGGUUGCAUGAUCGGGCAAGGAAAUAUUUAUAGCUGUAAGAUAGGCAUGCGUCCCAUUAGCUGGUUGGUGAGGUAACGGCUCACCAAGGCUACGAUGGGUAGGGGAACUGAGAGGUUUAUCCCCCACACUGGUACUGAGACACGGACCAGACUCCUACGGGAGGCAGCAGUGAGGAAUAUUGGUCAAUGGGCGAGAGCCUGAACCAGCCAAGUCGCGUGAAGGAAGACUGUCCUAAGGAUUGUAAACUUCUUUUAUACGGGAAUAACGGGCGAUACGUGUA
rnacentral:rRNA from 1 species